CUGGUCUUAUACACAACGGUAGUCCAGUGGUAAUUUCAGUAUAAGAAGGAAAUCACCAUAUUG
rfam:BtMr-AlphaCoV/SAX2011, complete genome